GAUAAACGCUGGCGGCGUGCAUGAGACAUGCAAGUCGAACGGACGAUCGAGGCUUGCCUUGAUCGUUAGUGGCGGACGGCUGAGUAACGCGUAGGUGACCUGCCCCGAAGUGGGGAAUAACUGCCCGAAAGGGUGGCUAAUACCGCAUGUGGUGGUGUGUUCAUUCACACCAGUAAAGCCGCAAGGCGCUUCGGGAGGGGCCUGCGUCCGAUUAGCUCGUUGGUGGGGUAACGGCUCACCAAGGCGACGAUCGGUAUGUGGUCUGAGAGGACGAUCACCCAGACUGGGACUGAGACACGGCCCAGACUCCUACGGGAGGCAGCAGUCGGGAAUUUUGCGCAAUGGACGAAAGUCUGACGCAGCAACGCCGCGUGAGGGAUGAAGGCCUUAGGGUUGUAAAGCUCUUUCACCGGAGAAGAUAAUGACGGUAUCCGGAGAAGAAGCCCCGGCUAACUUCGUGCCAGCAGCCGCGGUAAUAC
rnacentral:rRNA from 1 species